rnacentral:rRNA from 1 species
AUUGAACGCUGGCGGCAGGCCUAACACAUGCAAGUCGAACGGUAACAGGAAGCAGCUUGCUGCUUUGCUGACGAGUGGCGGACGGGUGAGUAAUGUCUGGGAAACUGCCUGAUGGAGGGGGAUAACUACUGGAAACGGUAGCUAAUACCGCAUAACGUCGCAAGACCAAAGAGGGGGACCUUCGGGCCUCUUGCCAUCGGAUGUGCCCAGAUGGGAUUAGCUAGUAGGUGGGGUAAAGGCUCACCUAGGCGACGAUCCCUAGCUGGUCUGAGAGGAUGACCAGCCACACUGGAACUGAGACACGGUCCAGACUCCUACGGGAGGCAGCAGUGGGGAAUAUUGCACAAUGGGCGCAAGCCUGAUGCAGCCAUGCCGCGUGUAUGAAGAAGGCCUUCGGGUUGUAAAGUACUUUCAGCGGGGAGGAAGGGAGUAAAGUUAAUACCUUUGCUCAUUGACGUUACCCGCAGAAGAAGCACCGGCUAACUCCGUGCCAGCAGCCGCGGUAAUACGGAGGGUGCAAGCGUUAAUCGGAAUUACUGGGCGUAAAGCGCACGCAGGCGGUUUGUUAAGUCAGAUGUGAAAUCCCCGGGCUCAACCUGGGAACUGCAUCUGAUACUGGCAAGCUUGAGUCUCGUAGAGGGGGGUAGAAUUCCAGGUGUAGCGGUGAAAUGCGUAGAGAUCUGGAGGAAUACCCGGUGGCGAAGGCGGCCCCCUGGACGAAGACUGACGCUCAGGUGCGAAAAGCGUGGGGAGCAAACAGGAUUAGAUACCCUGGUAGUCCACGCCGUAAACGAUGUCGACUUGGAGGUUGUGCCCUUGAGGCGUGGCUUCCGGAGCUAACGCGUUAAGUCGACCGCCUGGGGAGUACGGCCGCAAGGUUAAAACUCAAAUGAAUUGACGGGGGCCCGCACAAGCGGUGGAGCAUGUGGUUUAAUUCGAUGCAACGCGAAGACUUACCUGGUCUUGACAUCCACGGAAGUUUUCAGAGAUGAGAAUGUGCCUUCGGGAACCGUGAGACAGGUGCUGCAUGGCUGUCGUCAGCUCGUGUUGUGAAAUGUUGGGUUAAGUCCCGCAACGAGCGCAACCCUUAUCCUUUGUUGCCAGCGGUCCGGCCGGGAACUCAAGGAGACUCCGUGAUAAACGGAGGGGUGGGGG